AAACAGGUGAUGUAUCUUCAGGCGGCAAGGUAGUGGGAGGUGGAGGUGGAGAUAUGAGAAGCGCUGAAGCUGCGACCAUCCCGCAUUCAUCCACUUUGUCGGCAUCAAUCACUACCGUCCGUCAACUCCAUCGCCACUCUCAUCCGACGGCACCGAGAGCUCGGCGCCAUAAGCUAGUUCUUGAAGACCACUAUCAGAAAAAGGCCACUAAGUACUGGGACGCCUUCUACAAACGCCACAAAAACAAAUUUUUCAAGGAUAGGCAUUACUUAGAGAAGGAUUGUGGGUGUUUCUUUUCGGAUGAAGAUUUGUCCCCCAAUAGAAAGGUGGUUUUAGAGGUUGGUUGUGGGUCUGGCAGCACUAUCUUUCCCCUUCUGUCUGCUUUCCCUAAUCUUUAUGUCCAUGCUUGUGAUUUCUCACCAAAUGCAAUUUCACUUGUUGAGGUUUGUCAGUUUUAUUCAAAUGUGAAUUUCGGAAGAGACAGGGUAAAUGCAUUUGUUGCUGAUGUUACAGAUGAUGCUCUUUCUGACCAUAUUGAUCCCUCUUCUGUUGAUGUUGUUACCCUGAUUUUUAUGCUAUCUGCUGUGUCUCCAAAUAAAAUGCCUUUGAUAUUGCAGAACAUCAAAAGUGUUAUCAAGCCAAAUGGUUAUGUUACUGUUUCGAGAUUAUGCUGUAGGAGAUUUUGCUCAGGUGAAGUUACAAAAUAAAGAUCAAAUGAUCAGCGAGGACUUCUAUGUUCGAGGGGAUGGCACCUGUUCAUUUUAUUUCUCUGAAGAUUUCUUGUCAACCUUGUUUUUAAGCGCUGGCUUCAACACUUUGAGUAUGAACACAUACUGCAGACAGAUUCACAAUCACUCUCGCAAAAUGACCAUGAAUCGGCGUUGGACACGUGCUGUAUUUAAAAGCUUUUGAUCUCAGCAUUUCUAAAGCUGCUGAAGUUUGAUGAUAGUUUGCCAAUUUAUCAACCAUCAAUCAACUGGUUCAUUAGUCAGCCAGGUUAGCAAGUUAAGUUGAUUUUGACAUGAUAAUAGAUAUAUGGGACAGAGACGUUUUAUAGUAUAGUAUUUAAAUUUGUCUUCCAUGUUGUGGUAUGGAAAGGUGAACAUUGUAGACUCGUUAAAGUUGAGAGAACUUAGAGAAGACACCCAGAAGGCAAUUUUGCUGAUUUGAUCAAGGAUGAUUGAUUCUUUAACCAAUCUUGUAUUCUGUGAGAAUUUCUUGAUAUGAAGCUUCUUCGGACUGACCAAUUUUGCAAACAUAAAUGUGUCUUUCUCCUUAUCACUGGGGCAGGUUUCUUGGUGUCUAAAAAUGUUGCUUAAGAACGUAUUUAAGCGCUGUUUGAUGUGGUUUGAACAUUCGAUUAUUUUUUUCGCUA